rnacentral:rRNA from 1 species
UACGAAGGGGGCUAGCGUUGCUCGGAAUCACUGGGCGUAAAGGGUGCGUAGGCGGGUCUUUAAGGCAGGGGUGAAAUCCUGGAGCUCAACUCCAGAACUGCCUUUGAUACUGGCGAUCUUGAGUCCGGGAGAGGUGAGUGGAACUCCGAGUGUAGAGGUGAAAUUCGUAGAUAUUCGGAAGAACACCAGUGGCGAAGGCGGCUCACUGGCCCGGUACUGACGCUGAUGUGCGAAAGCGUGGGGAGCAAACAGG